rnacentral:rRNA from 1 species
GGGAUACCACUUGGAAACAGGUGCUAAUACCGCAUAACCAUAGUUACCGCAUGGUAACUAUGUAAAAGGUGGCUAUGCUACCGCUUUUGGAUGGGCCCGCGGCGCAUUAGCUAGUUGGUGGGGUAAAGGCUUACCAAGGCAAUGAUGCGUAGCCGAACUGAGAGGUUGAUCGGCCACAUUGGGACUGAGACACGGCCCAAACUCCUACGGGAGGCAGCAGUAGGGAAUCUUCCACAAUGGGCGAAAGCCUGAUGGAGCAACGCCGCGUGGGUGAAGAAGGUCUUCGGAUCGUAAAACCCUGUUGUUAGAGAAGAAAGUGCGUGAGAGUAACUGUUCACGUUUCGACGGUAUCUAACCAGAAAGCCACGGCUAACUACGUGCCAGCAGCCGCGGUAAUACGUAGGUGGCAAGCGUUAUCCGGAUUUAUUGGGCGUAAAGAGAACGCAGGCGGUCUUUUAAGUCUGAUGUGAAAGCCUUCGGCUUAACCGGAGUAGUGCAUUGGAAACUGGGAGACUUGAGUGCAGAAGAGGAGAGUGGAACUCCAUGUGUAGCGGUGAAAUGCGUAGAUAUAUGGAAGAACACCAGUGGCGAAAGCGGCUCUCUGGUCUGUAACUGACGCUGAGGUUCGAAAGCGUGGGUAGCAAACAGGAUUAGAUACCCUGGUAGUCCACGCCGUAAAC